rnacentral:tmRNA from 1 species
UAGUGCCUCGGCCCGCAAGGCGGGCAAGCAGGAAGUCACUCGAAGGCCUUGGUUUGCGGCAGUCGAUCUAGUGGCUUCGUAAAAGUAAACCUAGUUUGUGUAGUGCUUUGAUACACUUACGAAAUCUAACUGAAGCUAAGUCUUGCGCAGGUUGUUUCCUACCAGCAAUAGAUCGAAAAUUCUAAUGGAAAAUACACAUGUAGAAAGCCAUGCAACGGCACGUUUGGACGGGAGUUCGAAUCUCCCCGGCUCCACAA